CAAAAUGGAGGUUUUGUCGACGAUUAUGGCUCGACACCCGGGGUAGAGCGUUGGCCUAAACUUUUAGUUCCGCGUUUUCUCGACGACAAUAACCGUCUAAAUAUUUGUUGUCCUGUUUUGGCGUCGUGGUUGCCACAUGCUUCGCACAUGGGUCUUAGUUUGGACGUUGCAGGUCGCGUAUUAACUUUUGGGUAAAAAAAAUUGAACUGUGUUUCUCUUUCUCUUUCUCUCUCUCUCUAUCUCUCAACCCUAACCCCAUUACUCCGUCACGUUCUCUGCCUCCAUAGUUGUAGAUCUACUCCUAAGGUUGAAUUGUUGUGUCAAUUUUAAGAUAUACGAUAGGUUGUAAGUGUAUCCAGAGACUUUGAGGUAUUCAUCUCUCUCCCACGUUCUUAAUUUCAUGGAUUUUUAUGUUUUUAUUUCAAGUGAAAUUUUUUGUUCUAGAUCUUUGAAUUGAGGUCUUCGGUAGUGCAAUUGUUCGUCUUUUCUCUCAUUUUCAGUUCUUCUAGUUGUUUGGUAUGUGAUUAAUUCUAUGUUUUGAUUUGUGUACCUUUUAGGUUUUCUAUCCUAAAACCUAAAGGGCGAUUCACUAUGCAGUGUUUUUGGAAGCUAAAGGGCGAUAAUUGAUGCUCAGAGAGUGCAUCUUAUGAGGAUUUCAAGGUCUUUUCUCUCUCAUAAUAUCCCGUCUACAUCACACCGCCUGUUGUUGCUUCUUUUACUCUAAAAAUAAUUAACUUGUUAUCUUAUGAAUUUGUGAGAUUGUAGGAAUGCUGAUCCUUUUGAAAGCCUGAAGAAUGCGCACGCAUUGUUUCUUGAUAGGAUGUCAGUUAUACAUAAGACAUGUUCUAUUCAUCAGAACCUAUGUCAACUAUGUUAUGGAUAUUGCUUCAAGAGGACUCUCAAUUUCUGCUGUUGGUAUAUAUAUUAGCAUAUAGGAAGAACCUGGGCUUGGAAGAUUUUCCUAAUAGUUGACUUUGGCUUUCAAGAAGACAUACAUAGAUGUCUUUGUCGGGGAAGCCAAGGCUGAGGCAAAUGCGAGUUUUCAUGAAAUUCCAGCUAUUUUUCAAAUGCGAAAUUCAGAAGGGAAACGCUGAUAUAUCAGAGAGCCAAAGCUAGGGGUCAUCCGGAAGAUCACUAUCUGUUGGAGAAGACUUUCAGAGUAUUAUCUUUGGAAUUCAGAUUGUCCAACGUGAUGAAGGUGCACUGGGAGAAUGAAGACUGGACACUCGAGCUUCAUAUACUAGCAUUUUUAGGAUUUAGUUUCUUUUGGCUUUAGUUUUUCUUGGGUUUAGUAGUUACAAUUUGUAUUUACGAUGAUGUUUUGAAUUCUUUGGAUAAGAGUUUGGUUAGUAACAUGCACGUAUUGUCUAUAUGGAUUUUUGUUAGUAAUGUGCAUGUACAAUGUAUUUUAACUACUGCUUGUAAGUUAAUUUAAAGUAUGAUUGAAGAUAUU